rfam:Stegodyphus mimosarum contig99666, whole genome shotgun sequence.
UGUCUGGUUUUUUCCUGCCAGUAGUAAUAUGCUUGUUUCAAAUAUUAAACCAUGCAUGUCUAAGUACAUGCCAUAUUAAGGCAAAACCACAAAUGGCUCAUUAAAUCAGUUAUGGUUCCUUGGAUCGUACAUUAUUACUUGGAUAACUGUGGCAAUUCUAGAGCUAAUACAUGCAGCAGAGCUCCGAUCCUCUGAGGAUGAGCACUUUUAUUAAAUCAAAACCAGAGUCAGACUUCAUGUCCGUAUUAUGUGGUGUCUGUGUAAAUGAGUAAUGUCUUUGGUUAUCUAAUGGUACUGUUAUUUCAAGGAAAUUCUGAAGGAAG